GUGAAGCGGCAACAGCUCAAAUUUGAAAUCUGGCCCUCGGGUCCGAAUUGUAAUUUGUAGAGGAUGAUUUUGGUGCGGUAUCUUCCGAGUUCCUUGGAACAGGACGCCUUAGAGGGUGAGAGCCCCGUACGGUUGAAUGCCUAGCCUCUGUAAAUCUCCUUCGACGAGUCGAGUAGUUUGGGAAUGCUGCUCUAAAUGGGAGGUAAAUUUCUUCUAAAGCUAAAUAUUGGCCAGAGACCGAUAGCGCACAAGUAGAGUGAUCGAAAGAUGAAAAGCACUUUGAAAAGAGGGUUAAAUAGCACGUGAAAUUGUUGAAAGGGAAGGAUUUGUGACCAGACUUUUUCUGGGCGGAUCAUCCGGGGUUCUCUCCGGUGCACUUUGCCCAGUAAAGGCCAGCAUCGAUUUUCGGCGGCGGAUAAAAGCAGUGGGAAUGUGGCUCCCUACGGGGAGUGUUAUAGCCCAUUGUAUAAUACGCUGCUGGGGAUCGAGGUACGCGCUUCUGCAAGGAUGCUGGCGUAAUGGUUAUCAAUCACCCGUCUUGAAACACGGACCAAGGAGUCGAACAUUUAUGCGAGUGUUUGGGUGUUAAACCCUCACGCGUAAUGAAAGUGAACGGAGGUGAGAGCCCGUACGGGUGCAUCAUCGACCGAUCCUGAAGUUUUCGGAUGGAUUUGAGUAAGAGCAUAACUGUUCGGACCCGAAAGAUGGUGAACUAUGCGUGGAUAGGGUGAAGCCAGAGGAAACUCUGGUGGAGGCUCGCAGCGGUUCUGACGUGCAAAUCGAUCGUCAAAUCUGCGCAUGGGGGCGAAAGACUAAUCGAACCAUCUAGUAGCUGGUUACCGCCGAAGUUUCCCUCAGGAUAGCAGUGUUGUCUUCAGUUUUAUGAGGUAAAGCGAAUGAUUAGGGACUCGGGGGCGCUUUUUAGCCUUCAUCCAUUCUCAAACUUUAAAUAUGUAAGAAGCCCUUGUUACUUAAUUGAACGUGGGCAUUCGAAUGUACCAACACUAGUGGGCCAUUUUUGGUAAGCAGAACUGGCGAUGCGGGAUGAACCGAACGCGGGGUUAAGGUGCCGGAGUGGACGCUCAUCAGACACCACAAAAGGUGUUAGUACAUCUUGACAGCAGGACGGUGGCCAUGGAAGUCGGAAUCCGCUAAGGACUGUGUAACAACUCACCUGCCGAAUGUACUAGCCCUGAAAAUGGAUGGCGCUCAAGCGUCCCACCCAUACCUCGCCCUCAGGGUAGAAAUGAUGCCCUGAGGAGUAGGCGGCCGUGGAGGUCAGUGACG
rnacentral:rRNA from 1 species